AGUGAACGCUGGCGGUAGGCCUAACACAUGCAAGUCGAACGGCCGCACAGUAAGAGCUUGCUCUUACGGGUGGCGAGUGGCGGACGGGUGAGGAAUACAUCGGAAUCUACUUUUUCGUGGGGGAUAACGUAGGGAAACUUACGCUAAUACCGCAUACGACCUACGGGUGAAAGCAGGGGAUAUUCGGACCUUUCGCGAUUGAAUGAGCCGAUGUCGGAUUAGCUAGUUGGCGGGGUAAAGGCCCACCAAGGCGACGAUCCGUAGCUGGUCUGAGAGGAUGAUCGGCCACACUGGAACUGAGACACGGUCCAGACUCCUACGGGAGGCAGCAGUGGGGAAUAUUGCACAAUGGGCGCAAGCCUGAUGCAGCCAUACCGCGUGGGUGAAGAAGGCCUUCGGGUUGUAAAGCCCUUUUGUUGGGAAAGAAAAGCAGCAGGUGAAUACCCCGCUGUUCUGACGGUACCCAAAGAAUAAGCACCGGCUAACUUCGUG
rnacentral:rRNA from 1 species